GAUGAACGCUGGCGGCGUGCUUAACACAUGCAAGUCGAGCGAAGCACUCUGCUUUGAUUCUUUCGGGAUGAAGAGCAUUGUGACUGAGCGGCGGACGGGUGAGUAACGCGUGGGUAACCUGCCUCAUACAGGGGGAUAACAGUUAGAAAUGGCUGCUAAUACCGCAUAAGACCACAGCACCGCAUGGUGCAGGGGUAAAAACUCCGGUGGUAUGAGAUGGACCCGCGUCUGAUUAGCUAGUUGGGGGGGUAACGGCCUACCAAGGCGACGAUCAGUAGCCGACCUGAGAGGGUGACCGGCCACAUUGGGACUGAGACACGGCCCAAACUCCUACGGGAGGCAGCAGUGGGGAAUAUUGCACAGUGGGGGAAACCCUGAUGCAGCGACGCCGCGUGAGCGAAGAAGUAUUUCGGUAUGUAAAGCUCUAUCAGCAGGGAAGAAAAUGACGGUACCUGACUAAGAAGCCCCGGCUAACUACGUGCCAGCAGCCGCGGUAAUACGUAGGGGGCAAGCGUUAUCCGGAUUUACUGGGUGUAAAGGGAGCGUAGACGGCGAGGCAAGUCUGAUGUGAAAACCCGGGGCUCAACCCCGUGACUGCAUUGGAAACUGUUUUGCUUGAGUGCCGGAGAGGUAAGCGGAAUUCCUAGUGUAGCGGUGAAAUGCGUAGAUAUUAGGAGGAACACCAGUGGCGAAGGCGGCUUACUGGACGGCAACUGACGUUGAGGCUCGAAAGCGUGGGGAGCAAACAAGAUUAGAUACCCUGGUAGUCCACGCCGUAAAC
rnacentral:rRNA from 1 species